rnacentral:rRNA from 1 species
AUUGAACGCUGGCGGCAGGCCUAACACAUGCAAGUCGAGCGGGUGAAGGGAGCUUGCUCCUGGAUUCAGCGGCGGACGGGUGAGUAAUGCCUAGGAAUCUGCCUGGUAGUGGGGGAUAACGUCCGGAAACGGGCGCUAAUACCGCAUACGUCCUGAGGGAGAAAGUGGGGGAUCUUCGGACCUCACGCUAUCAGAUGAGCCUAGGUCGGAUUAGCUAGUUGGUGGGGUAAAGGCCUACCAAGGCGACGAUCCGUAACUGGUCUGAGAGGAUGAUCAGUCACACUGGAACUGAGACACGGACCAGACUCCUAAGGGAGGCAGCAGUGGGGAAUGUUGGACAAUGGGCGAAAGCAUGAUCCAGCCAAGCCGCGUGUGUGAAGAAGGUCUUCGGAUUGUAAAGCACUUUAAGUUGGGAGGAAGGGCAGUAAGUUAAUACCUUGCUGUUUUGACGUUACCAACAGAAUAAGCAACGGCUAACUUCGUG